rnacentral:lncRNA from 1 species
GUGAUGAGAGAAUGUAGAUCUAUGCCUAAUAGCACAUGCAGCUGGUACCAAUGCUGUGGUCACCAUCCCAUUGCUUUCACCCAAAUGUCAAUCACUUUUCCCUACUGGAUAAUUCUAAUCAACGAAUUUAGAGUAUAAUCUUCACCAAAACACAUGCUGCUCAUCGAAAAGAGAAAAGUUGUGAUCAAGUACUUACCUGGGGCUAUCCCUUUGAACAGUUAACAUCACAUUUCAAUCAGUGUUUUUGGUGAGAGCAAAUAUCAAAUCGACCAGCCAACAAGAGCGACCUUUGAAACGAGACGACGCCC